UACGUAGGGGGCGAGCGUUGUCCGGAAUUAUUGGGCGUAAAGAGCGUGUAGGCGGUCCGGUAAGUCCGCUGUGAAAGUCCAGGGCUCAACCCUGGAAUGCCGGUGGAUACUGCCGGGCUAGAGUCCGGAAGAGGCGAGUGGAAUUCCUGGUGUAGCGGUGAAUGCGCAGAUAUCAGGAGGAACACCGAUGGCGAAGGCGGCUCUCUGGGACGGUACUGACGCUGAGACGCGAAAGCGUGGGGAGCGAACAGG
rnacentral:rRNA from 1 species